rnacentral:rRNA from 1 species
UACGAAGGGGGCUAGCGUUGCUCGGAAUCACUGGGCGUAAAGCGCACGUAGGCGGCUUCUUAAGUCAGGGGUGAAAUCCUGGAGCUCAACUCCAGAACUGCCUCUGAUACUGAGGAGCUCGAGUCCGGGGGAGGUGAGUGGAACUCCGAGUGUAGAGGUGAAAUUCGUAGAUAUUCGGAAGAACACCAGUGGCGAAGGCGGCUCACUGGCCCGGUACUGACGCUGAGGUGCGAAAGCGUGGGGAGCAAACAGG